GCUGGGCAUGGUGGUGCAUGACUGUAAUCCCAAUAACUUGGGAAGCUGAAGCAGGAGGAUCACAAGUUCAAAGCCAGCCUCAGCAACUUAGCGAGGCCCUAAGCGAGACCCUGUCUCAC
rnacentral:sRNA from 1 species